CACACUGAUGAGGUAAUUUGCGAUUGAUUCUGGUCGGUGGCUCUCUCGCCGGAGAUGCUAAACCGUCCAGAUAUAUGAUAUUCAAUUCUUACAUAUUCUGAGA
rnacentral:snoRNA from 1 species